GCCUAGUUAGCUUGGAAGGUAUGGCGUCUGCCUUGUAAGCACUACGCUGUGGGUUCGAUUCCCGUCGGGGCG
rnacentral:tRNA from 1 species